rnacentral:misc_RNA from 1 species
UCCUGGUUUCCCAGGCAGUCCCAUCAGAGUGCUCCUGUAAAGGAUAGCAACUGACGGCAAGGGUUGCGCUCGUUAUAGGACUUAACCCAACAUCUCACGACACGAGCUGACGACAGCCAUGCAGCACCUGUGUAUAUGUCUAAGGUUUCCCUUAGAAGACUCUAUCUCUAGAGCUGUCAUAUACAUGUCAAACCUAGGUAAGGUUCCUCGCGUAGUGUCGAAUUAAACCACAUGUUCCACCGCUUGUGCGGACCCCCGUCAAUUCCUUUGAGUUUUAAUCUUGCGACCGUACUCCCCAGGCGGAUCACUUAACGCGUUAGCUACGACACUAAUUCUGCAGAGCAGAACUAACGUCUAGUGAUCAUCGUUUACAGCGUGGACUAC